CUUGUUGUUAUGGUCUGGGAUGCUGCUAGGUGGCUCUUGGUCAAGGAACUGUAUGACUGGUCUUGUGAAAUUCAGAUGCCAACAAUUGGCUUGGAUGAGCAGCAGUGGAGCUGAGACCAGAGAGUUUCUCCAAUGUGAAACCGGGUUGGUAGCACAUGGGAUCUGAGGAGCUGCAGAGUGAAACUCCAGCUGGGCAGCUACUGAUCCUA